UACGUAGGGGGCGAGCGUUGUCCGGAUUUAUUGGGCGUAAAGAGCGUGUAGGCGGUUCGGUAAGUCUGUCGUGAAAUCCUGAGGCUCAACCUCGGGCGUGCGAUGGAUACUGCCGGGCUAGAGGGUGGUAGAGGCGAGUGGAAUUCCCGGUGUAGCGGUGAAAUGCGCAGAUAUCGGGAGGAACACCAGUAGCGAAGGCGGCUCGCUGGGCCACGCCUGACGCUGAGACGCGAAAGCUAGGGGAGCGAACAGG
rnacentral:rRNA from 1 species